rnacentral:misc_RNA from 1 species
AAUCUAUCAACAAACCACAACACCGUGAACAAACCAUGUUGGCCACGCCUCACUUUUUGUGAGACGCUGGUCUUUUGCCAACCAACCAACACCAAACGAACAACUAACUAAACAUGAGGGCGCAGCUCAGAGCUGUACCUUCACAAACCAAGA